rnacentral:rRNA from 1 species
AAAAAUGCACAUACUGUGAGCUCGAUGAGUAGGGCGGGACACGUGGUAUCCUGUCUGAAUAUGGGGGGACCAUCCUCCAAGGCUAAAUACUCCUGACUGACCGAUAGUGAACCAGUACCGUGAGGGAAAGGCGAAAAGAACCCCGGCGAGGGGAGUGAAAAAGAACCUGAAACCGUGUACGUACAAGCAGUGGGAGCACAGAGCAAUCUGUGUGACUGCGUACCUUUUGUAUAAUGGGUCAGCGACUUAUAUUCUGUAGCAAGGUUAACCGAAUAGGGGAGCCGAAGGGAAACCGAGUCUUAACUGGGCGUUAAGUUGCAGGGUAUAGACCCGAAACCCGGUGAUCUAGCCAUGGGCAGGUUGAAGGUUGGGUAACACUAACUGGAGGACCGAACCGACUAAUGUUGAAAAAUUAGCGGAUGACUUGUGGCUGGGGGUGAAAGGCCAAUCAAACCGGGAGAUAGCUGGUUCUCCCCGAAAGCUAUUUAGGUAGCGCCUCGUGAAUUCAUCUCCGGGGGUAGAGCACUGUUUCGGCAAGGGGGUCAUCCCGACUUACCAACCCGAUGCAAACUGCGAAUACCGGAGAAUGUUAUCACGGGAGACACACGGCGGGUGCUAACGUCCGUCGUGAAGAGGGAAACAACCCAGACCGCCAGCUAAGGUCCCAAAGUCAUGGUUAAGUGGGAAACGAUGUGGGAAGGCCCAGACAGCCAGGAUGUUGGCUUAGAAGCAGCCAUCAUUUAAAGAAAGCGUAAUAGCUCACUGGUCGAGUCGGCCUGCGCGGAAGAUGUAACGGGGCUAAACCAUGCACCGAAGCUGCGGCAGCGACGCUUAUGCGUUGUUGGGUAGGGGAGCGUUCUGUAAGCCUGCGAAGGUGUGCUGUGAGGCAUGCUGGAGGUAUCAGAAGUGCGAAUGCUGACAUAAGUAACGAUAAAGCGGGUGAAAAGCCCGCUCGCCGGAAGACCAAGGGUUCCUGUCCAACGUUAAUCGGGGCAGGGUGAGUCGACCCCUAAGGCGAGGCCGAAAGGCGUAGUCGAUGGGAAACAGGUUAAUAUUCCUGUACUUGGUGUUACUGCGAAGGGGGGACGGAGAAGGCUAUGUUGGCCGGGCGACGGUUGUCCCGGUUUAAGCGUGUAGGCUGGUUUUCCAGGCAAAUCCGGAAAAUCAAGGCUGAGGCGUGAUGACGAGGCACUACGGUGCUGAAGCAACAAAUGCCCUGCUUCCAGGAAAAGCCUCUAAGCAUCAGGUAACAUCAAAUCGUACCCCAAACCGACACAGGUGGUCAGGUAGAGAAUACCAAGGCGCUUGAGAGAACUCGGGUGAAGGAACUAGGCAAAAUGGUGCCGUAACUUCGGGAGAAGGCACGCUGAUAUGUAGGUGAAGUCCCUCGCGG